UCUAUUCUUUAUUUCUAUUAUUUUCUCUCUGCAUUGUUGGGAAGGGCCUGUAAGUAUGCAUUUCACUUCUAGUAUACACCUGUUAUAAAUAAAAUGUAAUUUGACAUAGGCUAGUUUGCCUUCUAGAAUGGAGCCAAUGGAAUAGUCCCAAAAGUACAAACUCCCAGCUGAAUCAAGCGCACCUCAAAUACCCUAUUGUUGCAUGGAACGUAAUUCCUUGAGCACUACAGAUACAUCAUAGCAAUAAGUGCUUUUUGCAUUUGAAAAUGUAUUGGAAUACAUUGGCUCCAUUGUUUACUUUUUGUUGAAGGGCCAGGGCCCACUCUCUGUGGGUAUGUUAGCUCUGGUCCAUGUGCAUGCGUCGGAUGCACAUGCAGCCAAAGAUGGUCAAAGGCUUGCCUAAUAAAUCAGACUUUGACACUAAUUAUUGGUAUACAGUCUGAAACAAAGCCCUGCAAAAUCGUGGAAAUUUUCCUUAAUUUUCCUUAAAAUUACAUUGGAAUUUACUCCACCAGUUGUCUGUGCAGUUAGUCCUUCAGCUGCUCGAAAUUUGAGACAAAAUACCACAGGAAAGUAUUGUUUACUCAACAUUUUAGAGUGCCAUACUGAAGUAGACAUUUCUAUCACCUGGCACCUGCACAAAAUCAUGUAAACACACGUUAGUUUUCAUUCAUGGUGUGCAUGUACUUCCGUUGUGCAUGUGCCUAGGGUCAUGAGGAAACAUCUUGAUUGCUUCACACAUAGGCUGCAUUUAGACAUGCAGGCCAAUUCUGAUCUUUAUUCACUAAUUGGUCUUUUGACCAAUCAGAUCUGAUGUGAAAAUAUCUGUGUUUGGGCGAAAUAUCAAUUCGUGGGAAAAAUAUCAGAAUUGGGCUGCCUGUCUAAACACAGCCAUACUCGCGUUUUGACGUUGGUUUAAUAAUACUUUCCUGUGGAUAUUUUGUCUCAAAUUUGGACAAGCUGAAGGACCAACACCAUGGACAGUCUGCAGACUGGCCACCAGCAGUAUUGUUCUUUGGGUACCCUAGUUUGGGUGAAGACCACAUGAAAAGUGGACAACAUCUGCCCAGACACUAGUCUCAGAACAGAGUACCAACCAGCUGUCAUGAACAACGGAGAGCUAUGGUAUGCCAUCGUCAGGCACAUAGCACCGCCAUAUGUAAAGCGCGGAGCGGGAGAGAGCGAGGGAG